UGAGUAACACGUAUCCAACCUGCCGUCUACUCUUGGACAGCCUUCUGAAAGGAAGAUUAAUACAAGAUGGCAUCAUGAGUUCACAUGUUCACAUGAUUAAAGGUAUUCCGGUAGACGAUGGGGAUGCGUUCCAUUAGAUAGUAGGCGGGGUAGCGGCCCACCAAACCGACGAUGGAUAGGGGUUCUGAGAGGAAGGUCCCCCACAUUGGAACUGAGACACGGUCCAA
rnacentral:rRNA from 1 species